UUGCAUUUCAAUAAGCGGAGGAAAAGAAACUAACAAGGCUUCCCAUAGUAACGGCGAGUGAAGUGGGAAGACCUCAAAUUUGGAAUCUCCAGGGGCCAACUCUGGCGAAUUGUAGUCUCGAGAAGACUUUUCUGGUGAGGCUGCUGGUCUAAGUUCCUUGGAACACGGCAUCAAAGAGGGGGAGAAUCUCUAUUUCUGACGGCACAGCACA
rnacentral:rRNA from 1 species